AUGAACGCUGGCGGCGUGCCUAAUCCAUGCCAGUCGAGCGAACGGACGAGAAGCUUGCUUCUCUGAUGUUAGCGGCGGACGGGUGAGUAACACGUGGAUAACCUACCUAUAAGACUGGGAUAACUUCGGGAAACCGGAGCUAAUACCGGAUAAUAUUUUGAACCGCAUGGUUCAAAAGUGAAAGACGGUCUUGCUGUCACUUAUAGAUGGAUCCGCGCUGCAUUAGCUAGUUGGUAAGGUAACGGCUUACCAAGGCAACGAUGCAUAGCCGACCUGAGAGGGUGAUAGGCCACACUGGAACUGAGACACGGUCCAGACUCCUACGGGAGGCAGCAGUAGGGAAUCUUCCGCAAUGGGCGAAAGCCUGACGGAGCAACGCCGCGUGAGUGAUGAAGGUCUUCGGAUCGUAAAACUCUGUUAUUAGGGAAGAACAUAUGUGUAAGUAACUGUGCACAUCUUGACGGUACCUAAUCAGAAAGCCACGGCUAACUACGUG
rnacentral:rRNA from 1 species